UGCAUAGUAAAAUCUUUAGAGAUUCUCAUUUCAGAACCUGCCUGCGUCUGUGUCAGCCUUCUCUAACUUCUUUCCUGAUUGAGCGGAGGAAGGAUUUUAUGGGACCGGGCAAAUGGUUCAACAGUUUUCAAAAUACCCAAGGCCUUUGCUCAUGAAACCAUCCAUGCAUUGCUGUUGAUAUUUUAUGUAGACACUUGAUAUGAUAGAUUGUAGUAUUGGUCUUAGUUACUUCCUGCCCUUCUUAUAGGAGGAUGACAUUUUAUGUCCUACUUAUAUCAGCCUUGCUUAUUGGACUUGUUUUAGCCAAGGAAAUAUAUGAAAUGUGCCAUGGAUAGCUGGAAGAAGGUUUUAAGCAGAAAGUUGAAGCAGGUGGUCUGCGAUUGCCCUUCCAACUGGUCUUGCAAAGGACACAUUCUGGGAAAGAACCUUUGGUCUGAAGGUUAGAAUGAAGAUAUGGAAGAGACCUGGAGCUGAACCCAGUCACUGUGUGACAUGAACAAGAAAUGAACCUUUCUUGUAAAUUAGUGGGAUUUGAAUGUGGUCUUUUACCUGACCUGGACCUGAAAGCUGACAUCGAUCACUUGGACCUCUCUGAUAUUUCAGAGAAGAUUCUGGUGCCUGGAAUCAGUAGACUCACAUGGCUGGGAAUUUAAAAAUCUACUGAGAAAGUGUCUGUGGAAAAAACCCAGUACGCUAAGUAACCAUACUUAGAAGCGGAAUAAAUACUGAUACCAACGGAAGAAAGACGGCAAGUAUUUCCAAGAGAUGGCAGGGAAAAGGUGGAAGUUGAAUUUUACUAGCCAGGACGGGCAGAUAACAGAGUAGACAGAGGACUUGCCAAGAAACCUGGAGCAGGUGUGCCAUGGAACAAAGGUCACCC
rnacentral:lncRNA from 1 species